GACGAACGCUGGCGGCGUGCUUAACACAUGCAAGUCGAACGGAAAGGCCCUGCUUUUGUGGGGUGCUCGAGUGGCGAACGGGUGAGUAACACGUGAGUAACCUGCCCUUGACUUUGGGAUAACUUCAGGAAACUGGGGCUAAUACCGGAUAGGAGCUCCUGCUGCAUGGUGGGGGUUGGAAAGUUUCGGCGGUUGGGGAUGGACUCGCGGCUUAUCAGCUUGUUGGUGGGGUAGUGGCUUACCAAGGCUUUGACGGGUAGCCGGCCUGAGAGGGUGACCGGCCACAUUGGGACUGAGAUACGGCCCAGACUCCUACGGGAGGCAGCAGUGGGGAAUAUUGCACAAUGGGCGGGAGCCUGAUGCAGCAACGCCGCGUGCGGGAUGACGGCCUUCGGGUUGUAAACCGCUUUCGCCUGUGACGAGGCGUGAGUGACGGUAAUGGGUAAAGAAGCACCGGCUAACUACGUG
rnacentral:rRNA from 1 species